CAGGUCAUCCGUAGGCAUCAAUCAGAAUCCAAUAGAUUGGCGAUUGGUGCGAAGGGAUUCUGAUGAAAGUUGUACAGAAGAUAGUGAUGAAGACGAUGACGAAGAAUUUUUCGACUGCCAAGGUGAAAUGGCAGUUGAAGCAACAUCAUUAGCAAAAUGGAGUUCUUUAGAAUUGCUGAUGGAGGAAGAUUUAGAUGGAUCGCCUUUGACUGGUGGGUCUAAUGAUGAUAGUAUAUUUAGUCCGUCAUAUCGAAUGUCUGCGAAAACUGGUAGAGUUCCAAGAGGAGG